AGGAGAGUUUGAUCCUGGCUCAGGAUGAACGCUGGCGGCGUGCCUAACACAUGCAAGUCGAACGGAGAUUUAACGCUGAUGAGGCUUCGGCGGAUUCUUGUUAAAUCUUAGUGGCGGACGGGUGAGUAACGCGUGGGCAACCUGCCUCAUACUGGGGGAUAACAGUUGGAAACGACUGUUAAUACCGCAUAAGCGCACAGUAUCGCAUGAUACAGUGUGAAAAACUCCGGUGGUAUGAGAUGGGCCCGCGUCAGAUUAGCUAGUUGGCGGGGUAACGGCCCACCAAGGCGACGAUCUGUAGCCGGACUGAGAGGUCGGACGGCCACAUUGGGACUGAGACACGGCCCAAACUCCUACGGGAGGCAGCAGUGGGGGAUAUUGCACAAUGGAGGAAACUCUGAUGCAGCGACGCCGCGUGAGUGAAGAAGUAUUUCGGUAUGUAAAGCUCUAUCAGCAGGGAAGAAAGGCUCGAAAGAGAGAUGACGGUACCUGACUAAGAAGCCCCGGCUAACUACGUGCCAGCAGCCGCGGUAAUACGUAGGGGGCAAGCGUUAUCCGGAUUUACUGGGUGUAAAGGGAGCGCAGACGGUCAUGCAAGUCUGAAGUGAAACCCCACGGCUCAACCGUGGGCUUGCUUUGGAAACUGCGUGACUAGAGUACUGGAGAGGUAAGCGGAAUUCCUAGUGUAGCGGUGAAAUGCGUAGAUAUUAGGAGGAACAUCGGUGGCGAAGGCGGCUUACUGGACAGCAACUGACGUUGAGGCUCGAAGGCGUGGGGAGCAAACAGGAUUAGAUACCCUGGUAGUCCCCU
rnacentral:rRNA from 1 species